GUAUCUGAAUGGGUUCGUGAGGACAGUACAACUUUUGAGUGUAAAAACAGCUAGAACGCAGCCUUGGGGGUAGGGUGGGGAGGGCUGCACAGCCACUGAACCUCUGCAUGGGGCCCUCGAGAGGUAGUCAAGCGCAGCCAAGCGCAGUGUGGGGCUGGCAUCACACCAGAUACAAGGGUCAUAACUGGCAACCUCCUGACACUGCACAGGAUGCCAAUAGCCCUCCCCCUUCACAGUUCUGGAGCUCAGGGGCCUUGACCGCUCACGGGAUGCGAUCUGCAGCAGGACUGGGAGUCCAGGCUGGCAGAAUAUCAGUGAGAAGAGAUAUGCUGCUCCUGAAAGAGAAGGUAUCUUGUGCUGAAGAACAGACCACACAGGCUUAAGAGAAGUGCGAGGUUGGACCUUGCCCAAGAACCAGGGUACCUAAGAGGUUCUGGCAAAUCUGGGUCGUGGAGACAGUUUUUGUCUGUCCUCAGCUCGUUCUCAACUCCUCACCUUUACUCCAGGACCGCCAGGUCCCUCUGCCUGCCACCUCCUGUUGCAGUUCCUGCUCUGGCCUCUCUGUGCACAGCACAGGGUUUUCUAUCCUAGCAAUGCAGGCACCAAGCUAAACUGUGCCCGCGAGGCACACUCCUUCUUUCAAGUUCUUUGUGGCACGUGGUACCGUCAGCGCUUCCUCCAAGGACCACGAACGUGCACAGUUCUGGUCUGCAACAGGCCCCUGCCGCUGCCAGUUCCACAGCCCCGAUCCACAUAUGCUCAUAGGUUUACUGUAUCCAAAGCCACGAAAAACUGCUGCCAGCAGGAGCUCCAGAGAACCGGGCCAGGGUGUGGAGCUCAGCUGCAGCUCUGGGACAGCACUCCAGGCCAAACGGCUAGGACCCACCUCAGCCGUAACUGUGGGGGCUGCUGGGAUCCACUGGAGCUGAGUCCCGCCGGCCAGCGGGCCGGACAAGCUGCCACAGGCGGUGGCUGAGAUUCUGGACUUGGCAUGUGCCCAGUACGCAGCCCACCCGAAGAAGCUGGGCCUGGGGUCUUCGGGAUCCCAAGUGUCGCUGGGAACCUGGCUGUCGUGAGCCACCACCCUGAUGCAGAUGAACCACGGCAAGGGCCGGAUUGCCCCUUCCCUGUGGAUGGGGAGCAUGACGAGGCCGGAGUGAAGGGUGUCCAGGGUGCAGGCCACUGGAAGGAAUCUUGGCUGGGGACUCUCUGAAGAAGGGGAGGGAAGAUGGAAACUCAGUGGCCUAGUAUAGCCUUCCAAAGGCCCUUAAACCCAUUCACUUCUCCUUUACACAGUCUGAGGGCCCUGACAGGGGAAGCCCGCAGCUUCCCUAAAAGCCUGGCCUAGGACCAGGGGAAGCCCAAAGCUUGGUCUCCAACCUGAAGACUGAGAGGGGCAGCCCACCACCCUUCCAAGCUUACUGGCAGCUUGGCCAUCUCAGUAGCCCAAGUCACAUGCACUAUUAACAGCACCGUUCUGGGCAAAGGUCCCCAAGUCACUUAGGCUCUGUGUGCACUGCUCUAAGAAUUCAGAAAGACCCCCGCACCCUGGGUUAUUCCCUUACGUGGUCGGAAGCCAGCAGGCCUGAGAAUGCAUUUAGCCUCCCUUCCUCCCGAGGAAGGGCUAUUGUAUAGGGGCGGGGGUUAGGGUGGGAAAUAAGUACUCCAAGCAGAAAGGAGCAAAGAAGAAAAAGUCCACUUGCCUUGUUCAGGCAACACCGAAGGUGCGAGGGUGGCCCCUGAUGUGGGAGAUGAGCUCUAGAAAAGUUAGGUCCCCAAGAGGAGGCUGGUCCAACCCUUGUACUCACCUGGAUCUGGAGAGCCUCAGUCCCUUGGCCAGGCCGCCAGACAGCGUGCCGGGGAGCAGGUAGAGGAGGCUGAUGCAACCGAGGGUUACCGUGACCAUCAGCAACUGGGCCAUGGCGGGCUGAGCUGUGGAAGAAGAAUGCGGCGAAACCGGCAAAUGGGUUGGAGGAGGGCAACUCUGGCCUGGAGCCAACCCUCCUCGCCCACCAGUUAGGGAGCCCUUCUCCACCCGGGCACCCGGGUCGUGGGAAGAUUGGUUGGUACCGGCGUCUGUUGUCUGUCGGGGCACAAGUCCCGAGAUUUAGAGACAGCAGGCGGGGCUGCGGUCUGUUGGCAGUUCGCAGAGCACGCAGUGGAGCCUGUGGGUCAGGUAGUGGUCUCCAGGGAUAGCUCGCCUUCUGGGGUCCAGCGGAAGACCAGCUUGGGAAGCACUUCCAGCGCUAAGUAGUCUUUGGAGCUGAAGGCGGGGCUCGCCGCUGAUGGGGCGGGGCGUCCUCCACCCGGGUGGGCUGCCUUAGCCAAGCUCUCUUAACAGCCACUCCUGCCUAGCAGGAAGCAGUAAAGCCACAGGGGGUCACUUCAACGGGUCCAUCCCUGCUGGGCAAUGCUCAACAGCUGGCCAGAGUAACUCGGGGGGAGGGGGGGAGUACCACACUCACUCCUGGUACUUUCUGGUUCCUGACAUUCCCAGAGACUAGUGGGGCCCAGUGACCAACGGGGCAGAAAGGUGAGUGCUGGGAUAGAGUUGGGUUCUGACUCCAAAGGACAUCCACCUGCUACCUCUUCCUGAAGGCCAGGAGCAGGACUUGGUUGCCCAGCAUCCGAGGAGAUAACGGCAGAUUACUGCUGGCUGCCUUCUUGUUUCCAGACAGGCGGUUCCUCACUACCAAAUAAUUGUAAUACAAGUACAAAGAGAGCCCCACCACCACCACCAUAGCAGUAUUCUGGGUGACAGACUCAUUCCUCUUUUCUGCACACAGUAUUCUCUGUACGUGUACACACAUGCACAAGUGAGUAGUGUGUGUGUAAGCAUAAAGACGUUCUUUCGUAUGGUGGGACAUACUUGAAUAUGUAGAUAUUCUGUGAGUUGCUUUUUUUUUUUAUUAGCCUCUUCUCCCCCGCCCCCAUCCCUCUGCCCUGGGGAAUGAACCAGGCAAGCACCUAUCACAGAGCUACAUCCUCAGUUACCUUGUUUGCCUUCUUUGUUGAGGUGGGGUCUUCCUAAAUUACGCAGGCCAUCCAUGAACUCCCUCUGUAGUCUAGGGAGGAAGUCCACCUGAAGUCUUCCUGAAUCUGCCUUUUGAAUAGCUGGGAUUAUAAGUCUGCACCACGAGCCCAGCAACUGGCCUUUUUUUUUUUUAAUGCCUCUACAUGCCUCCUUUUUACUUAUUUUUAUUAAUCUUUAGUGUACAAAAUUAUGGAUUUUAUUAUGACACGUUCAUAAACACAUUAUUGUACUUUGCUCAUAUUCACCCCAUCGGUCCUUCAUCAAUUUAAAUUUCAGUGAUUUUCAGAUUUUCCACAACUAAAACCCCUAUCAUCGUAAGCUCA